CCUACGGGUGGCAGCAGUGAGGAAUAUUGGUCAAUGGGCGAGAGCCUGAACCAGCCAAGUCGCGUGAGGGAGUACUGCCCUAUGGGUUGUAAACCUCUUUUGUCGGGGAGCAAAAGCCGGACGUGUCCGGCUGUGAGAGUACCCGAAGAAAAAGCAUCGGGUAACUCCGUGCCAGCAGCCGCGGUAAUACGGAGGAUGCGAGCGUUAUCCGGAUUUAUUGGGGUUAAAGGGAGCGUAGGCCGCAUGUCAAGCGUGCUGUGAAAUGUCCGGGCUCAACCCGGGCCUUGCAGCGCGAACUGGCGUGCGUGAGUCCGCGGAAAGCAGGCGGAAUUCGUCGUGUAGCGGUGAAAUGCUUAGAUAUGACGAAGAACCCCGAUUGCGAAGGCAGCUUGCUGCAGCGGAACUGACGCUGAUGCUCGAAAGCGCGGGUAUCGAACAGGAUUAGAUACCCCAGUAGUC
rnacentral:rRNA from 1 species